rnacentral:lncRNA from 1 species
GAAUUUUCAGUAUGUAAUGGUUGAAUUUGUAUUGAACUAUCUAGUAGUAGAACUAUCUAGUAGUUAAACUAUCCAGUACUAGAAUUUGUACUGAAUUAUCUAGCAGAACUAUCCAGUAGUUGAACUAUCCAGUACUAGAAUUUGUAUUGAAUUAUGCAACAGAAUUAUCCAGUAGUAUCAGUAAUUAUCGAGCAGAAUUAUCCAGUAGUAUCAGUAAUUAUGUUUUUUAACUAAGCUCAUGCA